GAGCUCAGAGGCAGCACAAAGUGCUCUUGAAUUGAAUGAGCAUGAGUUGUUGAAUCAUCCUGUUAGGCUUGAUUUAGCUCGUGAAAGAGGUUCAUAUAUCCUUGGUGGCAGUUUCAGCAAUUCCUUCCAGAAAAGUGAUCAGCGUUAAACUGGUCAAACUAUAUUCAUAAGGGGUUUUGAUAAAUCUCUUGGAGAAGAGAUAAGAGCUAGCCUAAAUGAGCAUUUUGGUUCCUGCAGGGAGAUCUCGAGGGUGUCAGUCCUAAAAGAUUUCGAGUCUGGAGGUCCUAAAUGUUUUGCCUACAUCAACUUCAAGGAUUUUUCUAGCAUGAAGAAAGCUCUAGAACUCAAAUGAAACUGAACUUGCUGCUUGAGAAUGAGGACAUGCUCUAUCUACUUUCUAUUGAUGAUGAUGAAGAGCAGUGCAUUCAAAUACCAUGUUGAUUUUUGGUUAUCGCUGCUAGUAUUUAACAGGUUAUGGUGGUUGAUGCUGAGGCAUACACCUAUGAUAAUGAGGUCAUUAAUAAAGCUGAAGCAAUGGGAAAGCCCAAAAAUCCUGAAGAAGAAGCUACUGUGGAAACUACUAGAGCCAUAAAACAUCAUCAAGAAAGCUAAAGCAAUGGGGAAGCCCGAAAAUCCUGAAGAAGAAGCUAUUAUGGAAACUACUAGAGCCAUAAAAGCUUCUCAGUUGUUGCUAAAUACCAUUGAAAUCCUGAAGAAGCUGGAUGCUGUACGUCUCUUAGCACAUAGUGGAGGAUGAUGAUUAGUUUGGUGAAUUGGGUGCACAUAUGUGAGGAGGUUGAUCAAAAUUAUUGUUAGAUAGGAUGGCAAAGUUAUUGGAGUUGUAAUUCAUGUAUUAGGAAUACAUUGCGAAGUUGUUAUCACUUUGAUUUUUGAUAUUUUGUUAUACUGUUACGUGAUUAAACAUUUUUUUGUGACAA